UCUUUCUUAUUAUUUUCACUUUUCCUAAUCUUCUGUUGCUUGUGUAGGCUUUAUCUUUGCUGAGGUGCCUUAAUCCCCAAGCUUCAGACUUUUGAAAAGGGCUUUUGGUUCUGCAGUCUUAGAUGGUGACAGAAAUCACUGAUGCUAAAACCCAAGGGGAGGCUGAUGCAAUUAAGCUACCUGAGGAUCUUGUGGGUGAAGGAGAAGAUAGGGGCAAGUUAUGUCUAGCUGGGAAAUUAUGGACUGACAGAGGUUUCAAUAAAUUUACUCUCAUGGAGACCAUAACUCGUGUUUGGAAGGCGAAACAUAAUGUAACUACGCGCGAAUGGAGGAAAGACAUAUUCCUUUUCCAGUUUACUCAUUGGAGAGACAUGCAAGCUGUCAUAGAGAGUGAACCUUAGAAUUUUGAUAAACAACAGCUUGUUUUAAAGGAGGUGGUUAGUACGAAACAACCCUCAACGCUGGAUUUUUCAUUGGCUCCUUUUUGGAUUCGAGCUUAUGACCUUCCGAUUAAGUGUAUGAGCCUUCAGGUGGCGCAAUUUAUUGGGAAUAAGAUAGGGACCUUUCUGGAAUAUACUGAUCUGUCUAAAUAAGCUAAAAACACAUAUAUAAGGUUUCGAGCUACUUUGGAUUUAAAGAAACCUUUGCUAUGGGGGAUAACAAUCAAGGCAGAGGGUAAGGAGUUGUGGGUUUCCCUUCGUUAUGCAAGCCUACCCAAUUUCUGUUACUUCUGCGAUUAUUGUGGUCACUCAAUGAAGAGUUGUGACAUGCACACUGAUGGAUCUUCUGACAAUAUGGAGAAUCUUACGUAUGGACGUGCGUCGCCUUUCAAAGGACCUUCCAGGCUGUCUAAAGACCCUUUGGACAACUCAAAAGCGAAACAAAAGUUGGGUUUAUAAACCACAGAGGAUUCGAAAAUCCACUGAGUCUGUGACUAAGACAAAUGGAUUUCCAGAAAAUCACAAUGAUACAGUUGUGGAUCUUUCAAAUACCGACGAGAUCUUGCACCAACUAGAGGAUAUGCAUGUGAACCGAAGGACCAUCCCACGAACCAUGUCUCUUGUAUCUGAUGACUCGCCUAGAUUAGAGGAAGGUGAGACCCUCGAUAGUAAUAACUAGAAUCGUAAACUUCCUAUCCCAUCACCUAUUGACUGUAACAACAACUUGCUCAUCCAAAAACCUGCCAUUAAUCCUCCUCCUUCUCUCCCGACCCUUAUAUCUAUUCCUAUAUUUGAAGACGCAUUACCUUUCUCCACUCACAUAUUAUGCUCUAAUAUCCCUUUAACACCUUUAUCACCACUUCCCUCCUCAAAUUCUAAAAGUAAUCUUUCCAUAGCUCAUCCACAUUACCCGGCUCAAGCAACCAACUCAACCCCACAGUCACCUAUCCCACAGCUUAACCCGCCUACCCUUUCCCAUCCUAACUCUAAAUCCAAAUCUUUAUUGAAAAGAAAGGCGAGAUUGUCUGAACAGGUGGCCCAGCAGGAUAAGUUAGGCAGUGCAGGGAAGAGGAAGGAGAGUGAAGUGAUUAUUUUUUUCCCAAUAGAUGGUGUUCCUAUGGAUAAUGACUAUUCUGCUAAAAAAUCCAAAUCAACUGAGAUAUCGACGGAGGCUGGCAGCCAGCCCCGCCGGAAGCCGUGAGUAUUUUUUACUUGAAUUGCAAGAGGCUUGGGAACCCCUAUGCAAUUCAAAAACUGAAGAAGCUCAUCAAGCUUCAAGAUCCCAUUUUGGUUUUCCUUGCAGAAACAAAAUUGACUGAGGCUGAAAUUAGUAGAGUUUGUGAUAAAUGUGGUUUUAAGGUGUGUGUUAUUGGCCGGAAGACUGUAACAAGCACAAAACAUAGUCUCUUCUUCGCGAUCUUAAAAUGCGUCUCAGUUGCCAUGGCUAGUUGGUGGUGAUUUCAAUGAAAUACUCUAAAAUCAUGAAAAAGCAUGCGGUUUACCGAAAGAUUAAAGCAAGUUGGAAGAUUUUCACUCAGUGCUUAAUGAUUGUGAACUAAAGGAUUUGGGCUUUAAUGGUUUCGCAUUUACAUGGAGCAAUGGUAGAACUGGUAAUCAGAAUAUUUUAAAACGGUUAGACCGUUUUGUGGCGUUGCCAUCUUCGAUACAGAUGUUUCUUAAUUUUUCGGUGUCACAUCUCCUUAGACAAAGAUCUGAUCAUUGCCCUAUUACUCUGUCUUUGGAAAAACCUAGGAAAGGUCAUCGACACAAGGCUCACCCUAUCAGAUUUGAAUUCAUGUGGCUUAGAGAUUCUGGUUGUGUGGAGACGGUAAAAGAUGCAUGGGAUGAGUCAGUGGGGGACAGCUUGGAAGUCAGAUUUAACAAGGGUGCUAAGGCGCUUAAGAGAUGGGAACGAUGUCACUUUGGUCAUGUUACUCAUCAAAUCCAAAGUAUGAGAAGUUGUUAUUUAGUUUGCGAUAACAAACUCAGUUUGAGGCUUAUGUUUUGCUUCAGAGAGAUGUGGAGGCAUAUCAUUAGGCCCAGGAGCUUUGGAUGGAGGCAUUUGCUUAAUACCUAAUAAAAUUUCAUCCUUAUGAUUCAAGAUAGCAUUCAUCUUAGAAGUUACCUUUCUCUCCACUGCAGUUAAAGCUUCGUCUAGAACUGAUGGACCUAGAGAAGUAAAAAGCGAACAGAAAUACGAUGUUAUAACCCUUGCAAUAUCUCCCUCGUCCCUAAACUGCAUGCUCGAGUCAUCCGAUAUUUGAUCAAUAUUAUUCUUUCUCUAACGAGAGUUUGCUUUUUAAUGAAAGAAACCAGUGUUACGGUCCCCCUCCUGCAGCCAUUUAAUUCUUGAUGCUAUAUGGGUUUUUUUUUUAUUAUGGCUUGUAUUUCUACUGUCUCUUAUUCUAUUUUGAUUAACGGUGAGCCUAAGGAGACUUUCCUCCCAUAAAGAGGUCUCUAUCAAAGUGAUCCUUUGUCACCAUACUUGUUUCUCUUUUGUGCAGAGGUUUUCUCUAGCUUACUCAGAAAGGCGAAAGAUAAUCACCAUCUACAUGGCAUUAAAAUUAGUAGAACUGCUCCUCCUAUAUCACAUUUGUUCUUUAAGGAUGAUAGUAUUAUCUUCAGUGGACUACCAGGCAAUAGGCUAUGAAGAUUAAGGAGAUCAUAAGUUGUUAUGGACUUGCAUCAGGCUAAAGUAUCAUUUUCGAUAAAUCUGAAAUCUACUUUAGUCCUAACAUCAAUACAAGUGCCCAUGAGACUAUUAGUAACUGUUUGGGGGUUCGCCAAAUUGACCACCAUAAGAAGUAUCUUGGCCUUCUGGCUUUUGUUAGGAGAAAAAAGAAAGAAAUGUUUAGAUAUUUAGUUGAUAGAGUUGUGAAAAAACUGAAUGGAUGGAAGGAAAAAUCCUUUCUCGAGCUGGUAAGGAAGUGCUUCUUAAGUCAAUCAUUCAGGCCAUACCCACUUAUGCUAUAAGCUGUUUCUUGAUUCCCAUGGAUAUCUGUAAUCAAAUUGAGGGCAUGAUGGCUAAAUCUUGGUGGGGACAAAAGAAGGACGAGCGAAAAUUCAUUAGUCGAGUUGGUCUAGCCUACAUCGUUCUAAGAAACAAGGAGGAGUGGGUUUUAGGAAUUUUCGGGCCUUUAAUCUUGGAUGCUAUUAAAACAGUGUUGGAGACUUGCUUCUAAUGAAUCUUCAUUGCUGUCACAAAUUUUGAAGGCAAGAUAUUACCCUCAUGGUUCGUUCAUGUCUACAGGACCUAUAUACAAGCCAAGCUUUACAUGGCAGAGUUUUAUGAAAGCACGUCAUCUCAUUGAUCAAGGUUCCAGGGUAAUGGCACGCGAGUUCGUGUUUGGGGUGAUAAAUGGAUUUCAUUGCUGCCUUAUCAGAAAGUCGGCCUAUUACUUGGCGCUAUAAUCCCAAUCUGGAAACAUUCCAUCUUCCUUUAUAGGAACUCAGAACGGUCUCUUGAAGUGGCUAUGGAAGCAGCAGCUGCCCCCUUAAGGUAAAACAUUUUCAUCAUUGUCUUCUCUCCAACGCGCUCCCGAUGAAACUCAUGCUAUGUAGACAAGCGAUUAUUUCGGAUCCCAUUUGCAAUAACUGUGGCGAGGCAGCAGAAUCUUUGGACCAUAUUUUCUUGCAUUACCCAGUUGCAGUUAGAGUUUGGCAUUUAUCACCUUUGCGCUAUUAUACUACAGUGACUCCUUUAUCCUAGAUAGACUAGUUUCUUCAGAAACGAGAGAAUCUUUCUCCCGAACAGAUACAUAUGAUUCUUAUGAUUGCCUGGGCUUUGUGGCGAUCCAGAAACUUGGGGCUAUAUACGCUUAAAAAACUAUCUAAUGUCCAAAUUUUGCACUAUGCAUCCAGUUUGCUUCAUGAUUUUCUAGAUGUGCAGGUUCGUGAUAGUCAGAGUGUUAAUGUUCAACACGCCCCAGCUCAAGUCUCAGGGUGGCAAGCCCCAACUUUUGGUUUUAUCAAGAUGAAUACAGAUGCGGGUAUUAAGGACAAAUGAUGGCUGCUGCGGCUAGAUGCUCCAAUAUUAUUCUCUCUUUAGCUUAAGCGGAAGUACAGGCUGUGAUUUACGGAAUGGAAAUGGCCUUACGUUGAGCUUCACUAAUUUACAUUUUGAGACAGACUACAUGAAGAUAAUUUAUGGCCUAAGAAUUAUCCUUGUUCCAGCUAAUGAUUUUGGGACUCGUCUACUGAAGUUGAAGGGCUUAGUAUCUCAGUUCCCCCAGUUCUCUUUUUAGUCAUGUUAACAGGAAAAGCAACUGUGUUGGCAUUCUAUAGCAAAAGAUGCUCACUCUCAAUUAGAAGAGGAGCUCAUAUGGGUGGAGGAUGUUCCACCUCAAUGUUCUUCCCUUAUACUGGCUGACUCUUUGCUUCGAUUUAAUAUAUUAUUUUCCUUCAAAAAAAUAGAAAAGAUAUUAAAUCUUAAAAAUAAAUACGAAUAAAAUUUCAGAAAACAUACCAAGUACC